rnacentral:rRNA from 1 species
UGGGGAAUUUUGCACAAUGGGGGAAACCCUGAUGCAGCGACGCCGCGUGAUUUAGAAGGCCUUCGGGUUGUAAAAAUCUUUUCUAUGGGAAGAAAAUGACAGUACCAUAGGAAUAAGGACCGGCUAAUUACGUGCCAGCAGCAGCGGUAAUACGUAAGGUCCGAGCGUUGUCCGGAAUCAUUGGGCGUAAAGGGUACGUAGGCGGGUAAGCAAGUUAGAAGUGAAAUCCUAUAGCUCAACUAUAGUAAGCUUUUAAAACUGCUCAUCUUGAGGUAUGGAAGGGAAAGUGGAAUUCCUAGUGUAGCGGUGAAAUGCGCAGAUAUUAGGAGGAAUACCGGUGGGGAAGGCGACUUUCUGGCCAUAACCUGACGCUGAGGUACGAAAGCGUGGGUAGCAAACAGG